GUGUCAGCCGCCGCGGUACUACCAGCUCUCCGAGUGGUGGGGAUGAUUAUUGGGCCUAAAGCAUCCGUAGCCGGCUGGACAAGUCCCCUGUUAAAUCCAACGAUCCAAUCGUUGGUCUGCGGGGGAUACUGUCCGGCUUGGGGGCGGGAGAGGCCGCCGGUAUUUCCGGGGUAGGGGUGAAAUCCUAUAAUCCCGGGAGGACCACCAGUGGCGAAGGCUGUCGGCUAGAACGCGCCCGACGGUGAGGGAUGAAAGCUGGGGGAGCGAACCGGAUUAGAUACCCGGGUAGUCCCAGCUGUAAACGAUGCAGGCUAGGUGUUAGGGCGGCUACGUGCCGCUCUAGUGCCGCAGGGAAGCCGUUAAGCCUGCCGCCUGGGGAGUACGGUCGCAAGGCUGAAACUCAAAUGAAUUGGCGGGG
rnacentral:rRNA from 1 species